CUGAAGGUUCAUCUGUUCAGAUUGAUUGGACAAAAAUAAAAAAAAUAAGCUAAGAACUUAAAACAAACAAACAACAAACAAAGUAAAAACCUUUACAUCCUGUUUCAGUGGGAAGAAGACAAUAAACUCCAAUAUUUUUGUUCCUGCCCCAGCAAGUUAAAAAGCAUAAGGGUAUCAUUAUUUUGAAAUAUGUUGGAGAAAAUGAUCUCUUAGCAGGUGAAGGAAUGAAAAAACAAGGACCUCAAACAUUGUUCUUCAUCUGUAAAAGUCGACCUGCUCUAAAAUAUUCAUGUCAUGAACAUUUUACUGCACAGGCUGGCUGUAAGAACAGGGAAUUUCUGUUGGUUGAAUAGUUCCAUUUUCUUAAGGGCAAAGAGGGGUCUCUCUGCUGACAUAAAAUCAGUUCACCAUGAAUGCCCUAGAUGUUCUUGGAUUAAGAAAUGCAACAUAAAAGGAAAUGUGAAGAAUGGUGUUAAACACUAUGAGAAACUGAAUGGAGGAAGUUUCUGCAAACUGGUAAGCAAUGAUUGUAUAUAUGCUUGUCUCAUGGAGUGAUUUUUGUUUAAGAAUAUUAAAUAAAUUAAUUGUAAAUAUAGAAGAUAUAUGUUUGAUACAUUUCUGAUAUACAAAUCUGCUUUAAUUUGAAGGAAGUUCAAAGGAGUUAAGUUACGUAGUAACUGUGUCAUAUCAAGGACAGAUUUUUGCUAUACCAAUUUAUCCCCUUUUACUACAUUAAGUUUUCAAAAAUAAAUCCAUUUGAUUUCACUUUUUUCUUAAUGUAAAGAGUUCCCUCAGUGUAUGAAAGUAGUUUAAGCUCUAGCUUUCUACUACUCUACUUUACCAAUAUAGCAGUAAGUUUUAUUUUCCUUAUAAAGGUGGGACUUGUUGGAGAAAUAGUUUAUUAUUUUGGUAUGCAGGGUUAGUAAUGCUAUAAAAGGGUAAAUCUCAUUAAAAUAGGAUUCAUGCUUCAUCAUAGUCUAAAGGCUAGUAUGAGAUUUCAAAGAGAGAACCAGCAGUAUGAACGCCCUAGAAGAUUCCAUCAAGCUAUAAUGUCUUUCAAUAUGGUUCCAGAGAUCAACCAUAUGUCUGUCAUCUGUAGAUCAGCCUACAUAUAUCAGAAAAGUUCAUCAACUGAAAACUGACUUCCAGGCUAUCUAAUUCCUGUCAAAGGAAUUAAAGACAUUCUAUUUAGGCACAUAGUUUUUGUGAUCUGUGUUGGUAAAAAGGAAUAGACACACUAGUGACAUCCUAGAUCUUUUGAAAUAUUGGAAAAUAAUUUGGAUCUGGACUUGAAGAGUCAAGGAUCCCAGUGUAAAAAAUAUUAUAAACCAUGCAGACUGGCCAUAAAUUGGAAUCUGAUAGUCAUAUAAAAAGGCUGAGACAGACACUGAAGCAUUAAAUCAUUUACUGAAUAUCACAUAGUCAGUGUGUCAUAAGCAGGAUUUCACUUCAGUCUGGCCUUCUAUUUAUUAUGCAACACUCACUGCCUCUGUUAAAUUGGAAAAAAAGAUUAUUUGUCUGUAUUUACAUUGGGGCAUAUGCAAAACUUCAAACAUUUUCUAGCUUGGGAAUUUACAGAAAUAUUAUUUUAUUUUAGGCAAUAGAAAAUGCAGCCAAGAACAUACUUUAAAAUCAUUUCAUACACAUAAUUUCAUAAUUACAUAACCUUAAUCAAGCUCAAAAUUGAAACAUUUUGGGUUUUUAGAAUACAGGCUGAGAUGCUCUAUAGUUCAUCCAUAACAAACUACCUCAGUUAAAAUACCAAAAUUCAGUCACUACAUUUUAUUCUUAAGUAUUUCUUAAUCUUUACUGGGAAAAUGCUAAGUUAACCAAGUCAGUUAGAAAUAAAUUACUACCAACUGGCUUCUUCUUUUCCAAAAAUAGUUUAACAUCAUUUUUCAAAUUUACUUCUCACAUUUACUCAUGAAUAAAUGAAUAUGUAAAUGUUGGGAGAAAUGAGUGGCUCUAAAAGUUUAGAAAUUAAUGAUACAUUUAGUAAGGCCUGUCUUAAAAAAAAAAAUGCUGAUAUCUUUCUUCUUAGCUCAGUUCCCAUAGCAUUUACUAUUUUUUUGGACCUCUUGAAUCAGCUGUCCUGAAAAGAUGGGCAACUCAAUGUAUUUAAAACAAAAUUCAUCUUUUCUUUAAAAAACAAACAAACAGACAAAAAACAACAACCUGUGUCUGUUGCCAACUUUCCUAUUGCUGUGGAGGGACUGCCACCUAGUCAUGGACCAGUGAUAUCCAGUCAUAACCUCAGUGUCAUCCUUUAUCUAUCAAUAACCCCAUCUUUCUAAUCUAGUGUAAAAUCUUAUCAUUAUUGCUGUCUUCACAUCUCUUGUAUACAUCUCCAUUUUUCAACUUGCAUCUCUACCACCUUAGAAUAGACCCCAAUCACUGUUUGCCUGGAAAAUUGUAAUACCUUUCUAAUUGAUCUCCUGUGACUCAGCUCAUUUUCUACAGUGAUUUUUUCCCCCCAAAAUACAGGAAUGUAUUCAUUUGUUUGUUCAUUUAUUCAUUCAUUCAUUUAAACCUGGCAUAUGGGAAUGAUCUAAGUGAGGAUGUCAAUCUUACACACACACACACACACACACACACACACACACACACACACACCCCUCAGUGGUGGUUAGCUCCUUAUAGUCAUUGAGCACUUGAAGACCUUCACUUUCAGAUCCCUUACAACCUUUCCAGUUUUCUUAACCUUUUCUCAGUCUUAACAUACUCUAUCAUUCAGCUAUACUGGACUAUUUGCCACUCUUCACAAAUAACAUUUUCCAGAUUCCACACAUUUGCUUUAUCUGUCUCUCAUGCUUUGGAAGUUUUAACUUCUUACCUUUGUCACCUGGCUUCCCUGAAGUUCUUCAAGACUCAGCUCACAUCCUACUUUAUACAUUUCUAAGAUCUCUUUCUGUUUAUACUAUAGUUACAUUGUUUCUCCUAUUAUAAUGUCAGCUCUUGGAGAGCCCAGUCUGUUUAUUUUUGCUUUCUUUGUAUCCACAAUACUUAGCAUAGUGCUUUAUUCAUACUUAAUAAAUGUUUGUUGCUUUGCUGACCAAGAGAAAUGAAGCAGAGAUAUUUCAUGGUCACUUUUAUUUUCCUCAAUAGCUUGGAUUCCCAAGUACAUAAAAUUCUUAUCUUAUUCAGUUAGAUUUGUAAGGACACACAUAUAUACAUACC
rnacentral:lncRNA from 1 species